AAGUCGUAACAAGGUUUCCGUAGGUGAACCUGCGGAAGGAUCAUUACCAAAUUUUCCCAUUUCGUUUGACACCGUGUGUGAACUGGAUCAUUGUGCUCGCUUUGGCCGCUGGUGACGGUGGCCGAGCGUGUUCAACCCCAUUGUCCCUCUUUUGCAUUCUUAUUUUAUUGAAGGGGGCUUGAUCAUCAAUCAAGUCUCUUUGUGAAUUUGAAAUACAACUUUUAACGGUGGAUCUCUUGGCUCGC
rnacentral:misc_RNA from 1 species